rfam:Leptosomus discolor contig63990, whole genome shotgun sequence.
GUUUCUGUAGUGUAGUGGUUAUCACGUUCGCCUAACACGCGAAAGGGCCCUGGUUCGAAACCAGGCAGAAACA